rnacentral:rRNA from 1 species
ACGGCUCAGUAACACGUGGACAACCUACCCUAUGGAGGGGGAUAACCCCGGGAAACUGGGGAUAAUACCCCAUAGGCUAUGGAAGCUGUAAUGCUCUGUAGUCGAAAGGUCCGCCGCCAUAGGAUGGGUCUGCGGCCGAUUAGGUUGUUGUUGGGGUAACGGCCCAACAAGCCUGUAAUCGGUACGGGUUGUGGGAGCAAGAGCCCGGAGAUGGAUUCUGAGACACGAAUCCAGGCCCUACGGGGCGCAGCAGGCGCGAAAACUUUACAAUGCGGGAAACCGUGAUAGGGGAACUCUGAGUGCCCGUAAAAUCGGGCUGUCCAUCAGUUUAAAUAACUGGUGAAGAAAGGGCCGGGCAAGACCGGUGCCAGCCGCCGCGGUAAUACCGGCGGCUCGAGUGGUGGCCACUAUUACCGGGCUUAAAGCGUUCGUAGCUGGGUCGUUAAGUCUCUUGGGAAAUCUACCGGCUUAACCGAUAGGCGUCCAAGGGAUACUGGCGAUCUAGGGACCGGGAGAGGUGAGGGGUACUUCAGGGGUAGGAGUGAAAUCCUGUAAUCCUUGGGGGACCACCUGUGGCGAAGGCGCCUCACCAGAACGGCUCCGACAGUGAGGGACGAAAGCUGGGGGAGCAAACCGGAUUAGAUACCCGGGUAGUCCCAGCCGUAAACGAUGCGCGUUAGGUGUAUCGAUGACCACGAGUCAUCGAGGUGCCGAAGGGAAACCGUGAAACGCGCCGCCUGGGAAGUACGGUCGCAAGGCUGAAACUUAAAGGAAUUGGCGGGGGAGCAC